rnacentral:rRNA from 1 species
UACGGAGGGGGCUAGCGUUGCUCGGAAUCACUGGGCGUAAAGGGCGCGUAGGCGGCCAUUCAAGUCGGGGGUGAAAGCCCAGGGCUCAACCCUGGAAUUGCCUUCGAUACUGUUUGGCUAGAGACCGGAAGAGGUAAGUGGAACUGCGAGUGUAGAGGUGAAAUUCGUAGAUAUUCGCAAGAACACCAGUGGCGAAGGCGGCUUACUGGUCCGGUUCUGACGCUGAGGCGCGAAAGCGUGGGGAGCAAACAGG